CCUGCUCCCAGAGGCAUUGCAGGUGUGGCUGCUGUAUCACAUGUGCGUGUCUCUAUGUCACAGAGAGGCUGUGUCUCUGCUCUGUGUUCUGAUCUGUGAAUAUCUAAAUGAUUAGUAGCCUAACACU